UCCCAUAUGGUCUAGCGGUCAGGAUUCUUGGUUUUCACCCAGGCGGCCCGGGUUCGACUCCGGUAUGGGAA
rnacentral:tRNA from 1 species